rnacentral:rRNA from 1 species
AGGACGAACGCUGGCGGCGUGCUUAACACAUGCAAGUCGAGCGGAAAGGCCCUUCGGGGUACUCGAGCGGCGAACGGGUGAGUAACACGUGAGCAACCUGCCCUAGGCUUUGGGAUAACCCCGGGAAACCGGGGCUAAUACCGAAUAUGACUUCUGGUCGCAUGACCGGUGGUGGAAAGUUUUUCGGCCUGGGAUGGGCUCGCGGCCUAUCAGCUUGUUGGUGGGGUGAUGGCCUACCAAGGCGACGACGGGUAGCCGGCCUGAGAGGGCGACCGGCCACACUGGGACUGAGACACGGCCCAGACUCCUACGGGAGGCAGCAGUGGGAAUAUUGCACAAUGGGCGGAAGCCUGAUGCAGCGACGCCGCGUGAGGGAUGACGGCCUUCGGGUUGUAAACCUCUUUCAGCAGGGACGAAGCGUAAGUGACGGUACCUGCAGAAGAAGCGCCGGCCAACUACGUGCCAGCAGCCGCGGUAAGACGUAGGGCGCGAGCGUUGUCCGGAUUUAUUGGGCGUAAAGAGCUCGUAGGCGGCUUGUCGCGUCGACUGUGAAAACCCGCAGCUCAACUGCGGGCCUGCAGUCGAUACGGGCAGGCUAGAGUUCGGUAGGGGAGACUGGAAUUCCUGGUGUAGCGGUGAAAUGCGCAGAUAUCAGGAGGAACGCCGGUGGCGAAGGCGGGUCUCUGGGCCGAUACUGACGCUGAGGAGCGAAAGCGUGGGGAGCGAACAGGAUUAGAUACCCUGGUAGUCCACGCUGUAAACGUUGGGCGCUAGGUGUGGGGGGCCUCUCCGGUUCCCUGCGCCGCAGCUAACGCAUUAAGCGCCCCGCCUGGGGAGUACGGCCGCAAGGCUAAAACU